rnacentral:rRNA from 1 species
GACGAACGCUGGCGGCGUGCUUAACACAUGCAAGUCGAACGGUGAAGCGCCUUCCUUUUUGGUGGGUGUGGAUGAGUGGCGAACGGGUGAGUAACACGUGAGUAACCUGCCCCCUUCUUCUGGAUAACCGCAUGAAAGUGUGGCUAAUACGGGAUAUUCUGGGUCUGUCGCAUGAUGGGUCUGGGAAAGAUAUUGUUUCGGUGGGGGAUGGGCUCGCGGCCUAUCAGCUUGUUGGUGGGGUGAUGGCCUACCAAGGCGGUGACGGGUAGCCGGCCUGAGAGGGUGGACGGUUACACUGGGACUGAGACACGGCCCAGACUCCUACGGGAGGCAGCAGUGGGGAAUAUUGCACAAUGGGCGCAAGCCUGAUGCAGCGACGCCGCGUGAGGGAUGGAGGCCUUCGGGUUGUGAACCUCUUUCGCCAGUGAAGCAGGCCUGCCUCGUUUGUGGGUGGGUUGACGGUAACUGGAGAAGAAGCGCCGGCUAACUACGUG